CCUACGGGUGGCAGCAGUGGGGAAUAUUGCUCAAUGGGGGCAACCCUGACGCAGCCACGCCGCGUGUAUGAUGAAGGUCUUCGGAUUGUAAAGUUCUUUUGGUCGAGAAGAUAAUGACGGUAUCUAACAAAGAAGCACCGGCAAACUCCGGGCCAGCAGCCGCGGUAAUACGGAGGGUGAGAGCGUUACUCGGAAUUACUGGGCGAAAAGUGCGCGUAGGCGGGUUUGCAAGUCAGAUGUGAAACUCCGGGGCUCAACCAUGGAACUGCCUGUGAGACUCGUAUGCUAGAGUAUGGGAGAGGUAGGUGGAAUGCUCGGUGUAGGGGUGAAAUGCGUAGAGAUCGGGAGGAAUACCGGUGGCGAAGGCGGCCAUCUGGACAAUAACUGACGCUGAGGCGCGAAAGCGUGGGGAGCAAACAGGAUUAGAUACCCGUGUAGUC
rnacentral:rRNA from 1 species